rnacentral:rRNA from 1 species
UACGAAGGGGGCUAGCGUUGCUCGGAAUCACUGGGCGUAAAGCGCACGUAGGCGGCUUCUUAAGUCAGGGGUGAAAUCCUGGAGCUCAACUCCAGAACUGCCUUUGAUACUGAGAAGCUUGAGUCCGGGAGAGGUGAGUGGAACUGCGAGUGUAGAGGUGAAAUUCGUAGAUAUUGGGAAGAACACCAGUGGCGAAGGCGGCUAACUGGUCCGGUACUGACGCUGAGGUGCGAAAGCGUGGGGAGCAAACAGG